rnacentral:rRNA from 1 species
UAGGGAAUCUUCCGCAAUGGGCGAAAGCCUGACGGAGCAACGCCGCGUGAGUGAUGAAGGUCUUCGGGUCGUAAAACUCUGUUAUUAGGGAAGAACAAAUGUGUAAGUAACUAUGCACGUCUUGACGGUACCUAAUCAGAAAGCCACGGCUAACUACGUGCCAGCAGCCGCGGUAAUACGUAGGUGGCAAGCGUUAUCCGGAAUUAUUGGGCGUAAAGCGCGCGUAGGCGGUUUUUUAAGUCUGAUGUGAAAGCCCACGGCUCAACCGUGGAGGGUCAUUGGAAACUGGAAAACUUGAGUGCAGAAGAGGAAAGUGGAAUUCCAUGUGUAGCGGUGAAAUGCGCAGAGAUAUGGAGGAACACCAGUGGCGAAGGCGACUUUCUGGUCUGUAACUGACGCUGAUGUGCGAAAGCGUGGGGAUCAAACAGG